UACGGAGGAUGCAAGCGUUAUCCGGAUUCAUUGGGUUUAAAGGGUGCGCAGGUGGGUUUGUAAGUCAGUGGUGAAAUUCUGCCGCUUAACGGUAGGACUGCCAUUGAUACUGCGAAUCUUGAGUAUGGUUGAGGUAGGUGGAAUGUGUUGUGUAGCGGUGAAAUGCAUAGAUAUGACACAGAACUCCGAUUGCGAAGGCAGCUUACUAAGCCAUUACUGACACUGAGGCACGAAAGCGUGGGGAGCGAACAGGAUUAGAUACCCUGGUAGUCCACGCCGUAAACGAUGUUCACUCGCUGUUUGCGAUACACAGCAAGCGGCUGAGCGAAAGCAUUAAGUGAACCACCUGGGGAGUACGAUCGCAAGGUUGAAACUCAAAGGAAUUGACGGGGGCCCGCACAAGCGGAGGAACAUGUGGUUUAAUUCGAUGAUACGCGAGGAACCUUACCUGGGCUUAAAUGUAGAUUGCAUAAGGUGGAAACAUCUUUUCCCUUCGGGGCUAUUUGCAAGGUGCUGCAUGGUUGUCGUCAGCUCGUGCCGUGAGGUGUCGGGUUAAGUCCCAUAACGAGCGCAACCCCUAUCGUUAGUUGCCAGCGGGUCAAGCCGGGGACUCUAGCGAGACUGCCACCGUAAGGUGAGAGGAAGGUGGGGAUGACGUCAAAUCAGCACGGCCCUUAUGUCCAGGGCUACACACGUGUUACAAUGGCAAGUACAAAGGGCAGCUACACGGCGACGUGAUGCUAAUCUCUAAAGCUUGUCCCAGUUCGGAUUGGAGUCUGCAACCCGACUCCAUGAAGUUGGAUUCGCUAGUAAUCGGAUAUCAGCCAUGAUCCGGUGAAUACGUUCCCGGGCCU
rnacentral:rRNA from 1 species